rnacentral:rRNA from 1 species
AGGGUUCGAUCCUGGCUCAGAACGAACGCUGGCGGCAGGCCUAACACAUGCAAGUCGGGCGAGACCUUCGGGUCUAGCGGCGGACGGGUUAGUAACGCGUGGGAACGUACCCUUUUCUACGGAAUAGCCUUUGGAAACGAAGAGUAAUACCGUAUACGCCCUUUGGGGGAAAGAUUUAUCGGAGAAGGAUCGGCCCGCGUUAGAUUAGAUAGUUGGUGGGGUAAUGGCCUACCAAGUCUACGAUCUAUAGCUGGUUUUAGAGGAUGAUCAGCAACACUGGGACUGAGACACGGCCCAGACUCCUACGGGAGGCAGCAGUGGGGAAUCUUAGACAAUGGGCGCAAGCCUGAUCUAGCCAUGCCGCGUGAGUGAAGAAGGCCUUAGGGUCGUAAAGCUCUUUCGCCAGGGAUGAUAAUGACAGUACCUGGUAAAGAAACCCCGGCUAACUCCGUGCCAGCAGCCGCGGUAAUACGGAGGGGGUUAGCGUUGUUCGGAAUUACUGGGCGUAAAGCGCACGUAGGCGGAUUAGAAAGUUAGAGGUGAAAUCCCAGGGCUCAACCCUGGAACUGCCUUUAAAACUCCUAGUCUUGAGUUCGAGAGAGGUGAGUGGAAUUCCAAGUGUAGAGGUGAAAUUCGUAGAUAUUUGGAGGAACACCAGUGGCGAAGGCGGCUCACUGGCUCGAUACUGACGCUGAGGUGCGAAAGUGUGGGGAGCAAACAGGAUUAGAUACCCUGGUAGUCCACACCGUAAACGAUGAAUGCCAGUCGUCGGGUAGUAUACUAUUCGGUGACACACCUAGCGGAUUAAGCAUUCCGCCUGGGGAGUACGGUCGCAAGAUUAAAACUCAAGGAAUUGACGGAAUCA